GGUGGCUUAGUGGCAAAGUGCUUGCCUUGAAUGCAUGAAGCCCUGGGUUUGAUUUCCCAGUACCA
rnacentral:tRNA from 1 species